UGGGGAAUAUUGCACAAUGGGGGGAACCCUGAUGCAGCGACGCCGCGUGAAGGAAGAAGGUAUUCGUAUUGUAAACUUCUGUCGCAGAUGACGAAAGGAUGACGGUAAUCUGUAAGAAAGCACCGGCUAACUACGUGCCAGCAGCCGCGGUAAAACGUAGGGUGCUAGCGUUGUCCGGAAUUACUGGGUGUAAAGGGAGCGCAGGUGGCAGUGCAAGUUGGAUGUAAAAUCUACGGGCUCAACCCGUAUAAGCAUUCAAAACUGUGCAGCUUGAGUGAAGUAGAGGUAGGUGGAAUUUCCGGUGUAGCGGUGGAAUGCGUAGAUAUCGGAAGGAACAUCAGUGGCGAAGGCGACCUACUGGGCUUUAACUGACGCUGAGGCUCGAAAGCAUGGGUAGCAAACAGG
rnacentral:rRNA from 1 species